CCUACGGGAGGCAGCAGUGAGGAAUAUUGGUCAAUGGGCUUACGCCUGAACCAGCCAAGUCGCGUGAGGGAAGACUGCCCUAUGGGUUGUAAACCUCUUUUGUCAGGGAGCAACGCCGGCUACGUGUAGCCGGUCUGAGAGUACCUGAAGAAAAAGCAUCGGCUAACUCCGUGCCAGCAGCCGCGGUAAUACGGAGGAUGCGACCGUUAUCCGGAUUUAUUGGGUUUAAAGGGUGCGUAGGCGGAAUGCCAAGUCAGCGGUAAAAUCGCGGGGCUCAACCUCGCUCCGCCGUUGAAACUGGCGUUCUUGAGUGGGCGGGAAGUAUGCGGAAUGCGUGGUGUAGCGGUGAAAUGCAUAGAUAUCACGCAGAACUCCGAUUGCGAAGGCAGCAUACCGGCGCCCAACUGACGCUGAAGCACGAAAGCGUGGGUAUCGAACAGGAUUAGAUACCCCUGUAGUC
rnacentral:rRNA from 1 species